rnacentral:rRNA from 1 species
CCAGACUCCUACGGGAGGCAGCAGUGGGGAAUAUUGCACAAUGGGGGAAACCCUGAUGCAGCGACGCCGCGUGAGUGAAGAAGUAAUUCGUUAUGUAAAGCUCUAUCAGCAGGGAAGAAAAUGACGGUACCUGAGUAAGAAGCCCCGGCUAACUACGUGCCAGCAGCCGCGGUAAUACGUAGGGGGCAAGCGUUAUCCGGAUUUACUGGGUGUAAAGGGAGCGUAGACGGCAGAGCAAGUCUGAAGUGAAAGCCCGCGGCCCAACUGCGGGACUGCUUUGGAAACUGCCCGGCUAGAGUGCUGGAGAGGUAAGCGGAAUUCCUAGUGUAGCGGUGAAAUGCGUAGAUAUUAGGAGGAACACCAGUGGCGAAGGCGGUCUGCUGGACAGCAACUGACGCUGAGGCGCGAAAGCGUGGGGAGCAAACAGGAUUAGAUACCCGCGUAU